rnacentral:rRNA from 1 species
GCUAAUUUUGUUAUGAUAUAUAAUUCAAGAAAAUUUAUAUCUAGUUUUUUAAUAAAAUUAAUUUGGUAAAAUAUUUUAGAUGAAUAUAAGUGGGGUUUAGCUCAUUUAUUAGUGUAAAAGUUUAGAUUUAAAAAUUUUUCUUUAGUGAAUUUGAUAAUGUUUAUUUAUAUGAUAUUAUAAUAGAAAGAUAUAGUAGAUUUGAUUUAUAAAUGUUUACAGAUAAAAUAAAAAUUUUAAUAAAAUAAUAAUAUUAUAGGUAUAAUGAAAAAAUAAGUAAAAUUAUUUAUUAAAGAAUAAAAAUAUAUAUUGUUUUAAUAAAAUUAUAAGAAAUGAAUUCGGCAAAAAGUUUUUCUGACUGUUUAGCAAAAACAUUGUUUUAUGAUAUUAUAUAAAAUUAUGUCUGUCCACUGAUAAUUUAAAGGACUGCAGUAUAUUGACUGUAUUAAGGUAGCAUAAUCAUUAGCUUUUUAAUUGGGAGUUGGUAUGAAGGUGAAACAGGGAAAUUCUUUAUUUUUUAUAAAAUUAUAAUUGAAUUUUAUUUUUAAGUGAAAAAUCUUAAGAAAAUUAGAGGGACAAGAAGACCCUAUUAAGUUUUAUUUUUUUUAUAAUUUAAUUAUAGGAAAUUUAUUAGAUAAUAUUAGCAAAGGAAUUUAAUUGGGGCGAUUAAUUUAAAUACUAAAUUUUUUUUUAAUUUUU